rnacentral:rRNA from 1 species
CACGUAGGGGACGAGCGUUGUCCGGAUUCACUGGGCGUAAAGGGUGCGUAGGCGGCCGCGCAAGUCUGGCGUGAAAGCCCCGGGCUCAGCCCGGGAAGUGCGCUCGAAACUGCGCGGCUCGAGUGCCGGAGGGGAGAGUGGAAUUCCUGGUGUAGCGGUGAAAUGCGUAGAUAUCAGGAGGAAUACCGGUGGCGAAGGCAGCUCGCUGGGACGGCACUGACGCUGAGACGCGAAAGCGUGGGGAGCAAACAGG